rnacentral:tRNA from 3 species
GCCGAAGUGGUGGAAUUGGCAGACACGCUGUCUUGAGGGGGCAGUGGACGUUGAGUCCGUGCGGGUUCGAGUCCCGCCUUCGGCACCA